rnacentral:tRNA from 1 species
GCCUCUUUAGCUCAGCGGUAGAGCAGCUGAUUCGUAAUCAGCAGGUCACGAGUUCAAAUCUCGUAGGAGGCU